rnacentral:rRNA from 1 species
CGGGUGAGUAACGCGUAUCCAACCUGCCCUUUACUCCGGGAUAGUCUCCUGAAAGGGAGUUUAAUACCGGAUGUGUUUGUCUUUCCGCAUGGGAGCGACAAAUAAAGAUUAAUUGGUAAAGGAUGGGGAUGCGUCCCAUUAGCUUGUUGGCGGGGUAACGGCCCACCAAGGCAACGAUGGGUAGGGGUUCUGAGAGGAAGGUCCCCCACAUUGGAACUGAGACACGGUCCAAACUCCUACGGGAGGCAGCAGUGAGGAAUAUUGGUCAAUGGGCGUAAGCCUGAACCAGCCAAGUAGCGUGAAGGACGACGGCCCUACGGGUUGUAAACUUCUUUUAUAAGGGAAUAAAGUUCGCCACGUGUGGUGUUUUGUAUGUACCUUAUGAAUAAGCAUCGGCUAAUUCCGUGCCAGCAGCCGCGGUAAUACGGAAGAUGCGAGCGUUAUCCGGAUUUAUUGGGUUUAAAGGGAGCGUAGGCGGGCUUUUAAGUCAGCGGUCAAAUGUCACGGCUCAACCGUGGCCAGCCGUUGAAACUGUAAGCCUUGAGUCUGCACAGGGCACAUGGAAUUCGUGGUGU